rnacentral:rRNA from 1 species
GAUGAACGCUGGCGGCGUGCCUAAUACAUGCAAGUCGAGCGAACAGACGAGGAGCUUGCUCCUCUGACGUUAGCGGCGGACGGGUGAGUAACACGUGGAUAACCUACCUAUAAGACUGGGAUAACUUCGGGAAACCGGAUCUAAUACCGGAUAAUAUAUUGAACCGCAUGGUUCAAUAGUUAAAGACGGUUUUGCUGUCACUUAUAGCUGGAUCCGCGCCGCAUUAGCUAGUUGGUAAGGUAACGGCUUACCAAGGCGACGAUGCGUAGCCGACCUGAGAGGGUGAUCGGCCACACUGGAACUGAGACACGGUCCAGACUCCUACGGGAGGCAGCAGUAGGGAAUCUUCCGCAAUGGGCGAAAGCCUGACGGAGCAACGCCGCGUGAGUGAUGAAGGUCUUCGGAUCGUAAAACUCUGUUAUUAGGGAAGAACAAAUGUGUAAGUAACUAUGCACGUCUUGACGGUACCUAAUCAGAAAGCCACGGCUAACUACGUG